AAAAAAAAAAAAAAACUCGCUCUCUCUAUUCUCCUCUCGAGUUUUCUUGUCUUCUUUCUGCUAGGGUUCUACUUUUUGAGUUUCAUUAUACAGGGAAUAUCAGUGACGAUUCUUUUUGUUUACGGUUUCAUAUUGUUGGUUAAAGAACAAUACUUCGAAACAAAUCGCAAAAGCUUGCCAGAAGCCGAAAAACAGUGAAGAUAGUAAUGUUUCCGGUGUUGAAUCUCUUCUGCUUAAAAAGAGUUAAAGAGAUUAUAGAUUUGCUUCAGCAAAAACUUGAAUCAGUGAUUCAGGUCCCUGUAGAAGAAAACCUAAAUCACUUAUCACCUUUUCAUCUUCAUCUUUGCCUCUGUUCUUAAAAAAAAAAAAGAUGUCAUUUACGGUUUGUUGUUUUUUUCUAUAUUUAUUUUGAUUUGGGUGUUGUUCGACUGAUUUUUUGAUUUGUCUCACUGUGUUUUAGUUUUGCAGGUGAGGGUUCAUUACUUCAUCUCUCUUCACCAGACAUGAUUUAGGUUUCUCUUUUGAUUGGGGUUUCUUAUUUUAGGGUUUUCAGUUGCAACCUAACCAAGAUUAUUGUUUUGUUCCCUUUCUCUGUUCAAUUUUGAUUUUGCUCUUAGUUUCGAAUUAGGAUUUUUAAUUAUUCAUAAUUUUGUUUUGAUUUUGCAGGCAAAUUAAUCUCUCUGCAACAAUCGAUACUCAUAGUCAGCUGCUGAUAUACAUUUUGUUUUGAUUUUAUCACGAAUUUAAUCUAAGCUUGCAGUAUACCCUAACUUUUAACCACAACAGAGUGCACAUGAACUAUAAGCGAUUCAUUGGUUUUGUAUGAUAUUACAUGCUUUAGCCGUAGAGAUCGACCGUUCACAAUAUUGCAGCAGGACUGUCUUUGAGGAUGCCAAACACGAAUUGGUCAAGCACUUCUUCUGGGAUGAAGAUUUCCGGUCCAACCAGGAUGCAAUUCUACGUAAGAGGAAAGAACUGGGACAGUAAGUUUCCCUUCAUAAUAGGACCUCGAGUAUGGGAGGCAGGAAGAUCAUAUUAGUGUAUCGCUAAGUUGGUGAAGUUUCCCUUCAUAAUAGGACCUCGAAUAUGGGAGGCAGGAAGAUCAUAUUAGUGUAUCGCUAAGGCACAAGCAUUAGUUGCUUCAAAAAUCAUAUAGAUGUUGAUGAACAACGUAGGAGACAGUCAAACUCAUGGUUAUGCCAACCGUACUCAUGAAGAACAACGAAAUCUGCGAUUGAAGCUCGACUUAGAACCAGGAAAGUGCUGCAAUAUGACUGUUUAACAAAUUGAUUUGGAAAAAAUAAACUCAGCCCGUGCUUUGCCACUAGCAUCUCCCACAUCCAAAAUCACCAUGAUACUAUGUCGGGCAAAGAUCCAUAGCGUCCAGUUUGAGUUCUUUUUACCGAUACUAUUGGAGAUGCUUCUGCAUUUACUUUUGCUGCCCUAUAGAUUAACGGCUUUGGUUUUCUUAAAAGUGUAUUAUGGCCUGGCCACGCACUCUGAAGGAAAAUAACCAGUAGUCAGAUAUGAAGAUCAAUCAUCAUGUUUGUUUGCCAUAUUGUGGGUCUAUGUCACUCUACACAUCUAAGUAGUUCACGGGUACACAUCAUCAGAUGACACUUCUUCUCUACAGAGGAUAAUCUUAAAAUUUGGUUUGUUUCAUACUUUGAAAAAAAAUGUAUGCAGUUAGGUAAUGGUGUUUCAAGUUUUAAGUCAUUUGAUUAACAAGCUGAUCUGAAUUUAACGGAUUUUAGAA